UACGGAGGGUGCGAGCGUUAAUCGGAAUUACUGGGCGUAAAGGGUUCGUAGGUGGUUAAUUAAGUUAUCUGUGAAAUCCCCGGGCUUAACCUGGGCAGGUCAGAUAAUACUGGUUAACUCGAGUAUGGGAGAGGGUAGUGGAAUUUCCGGUGUAGCGGUGAAAUGCGUAGAGAUCGGAAGGAACACCAGUGGCGAAGGCGGCUACCUGGCCUAAUACUGACACUGAGGAACGAAAGCGUGGGGAGCAAACAGG
rnacentral:rRNA from 1 species